rnacentral:rRNA from 1 species
UACAGAGGUCCCAAGCGUUGUUCGGAUUCACUGGGCGUAAAGGGUGCGUAGGCGGCCGAGUAAGUCUGAUGUGAAAUCUCCGAGCCUAACUCGGAAACUGCAUCGGAUACUAUUCAGCUAGAGGAUUGGAAGGGAGACUGGAAUUCUCGGUGUAGCAGUGAAAUGCGUAGAUAUCGAGAGGAACACCAGUGGCGAAGGCGAGUCUCUGGACAAUUCCUGACGCUGAGGCACGAAAGCCAGGGGAGCAAACGGG